rnacentral:rRNA from 1 species
AUGACUACUAAUCUAUAUAAAGCCAAGCAUCCAAUAGUUGUUGACACUCAUUUGUGUGGCACACCAUCCUAUUGUCUAAUGGCAAUUGUAAAGCCGUCUGGUGAGCUUCUCAGGCUCCUCACCUUCCUCAUUUGCCUACUCCAUCAUUGCAACGCAGGCUAUGACGUCGACUCGGUCGUCGGGGCGCGGAGCCUAUUAUCGGCCAAUCUGAAACUUGUAGGCGGGACGACGGAGUUCGGUCCUGAUGUCAAGAGGCUCGACCUAACUGCAAGCCUAGAGACGGAUAGUCGGCUCCAUGUGCGCAUCACCGACGCCGACCAUCAGAGAUGGGAGGUCCCCCAGGAUGUCAUCCCACACCCAACGUCAGUGUCAGAGGACGUUUUGCUCGGAUCGGCAGGCAUGGACAAUGCCACCUUGUCGAGCAGCGCCACCAUCUCCAAGGUGUCUUCGGACCUGACCUUCUCCAUCCACAUGAAUCCGUUCCGCUUCACCGUCUCCCGCCGCUCCACCGGUGACACCCUCUUCGACACUUCUGCAACCCUCAUCUUCAAGGACCGGUACUUGGAGGUGACGACGGCGCUUCCAGCCGGGCGGGCAUCAUUGUACGGGUUCGGCGAGCACACGAAACGGACGUUCCGGCUCCAGCCCAAUGACACGUUCACGCUGUGGAACGAGGACCUGGAGAGGUCAGACCUACUGGACCGUAACCUCUACGGCUCGCACCCAUUCUACAUGGAUGUGCGCCCUGGCGGCAAUGCGCAUGGCGUGCUCCUCCUCAACAGCAAUGGCAUGGACAUACUGUAUGGCGGGUCCUACAUCACCUACAAAGUCAUCGGUGGCGUGCUCGACUUCUACUUCUUCGCCGGCCCCUCCCCGCUUGCCGUCGUCGACCAGUACACCCAGUUCAUCGGCCGCCCUGCCCCAAUGCCAUACUGGUCAUUCGGGUUCCACCAGUGCAGGUAUGGCUACAAGAAUGUGGCUGACCUGGAGGAGGUGGUCGCCGGCUACGCCAAGGCCAAGAUCCCCCUGGAGGGGAUCUGGUCAGACAUCGACUACAUGGACCGCGGCCAGGAUUUCACGCUGGAUCCGAUCAACUUUCCGGUGAACCGUCUCCGGCCGUUCGUCGACCGGCUCCACAGCAACGGCCAGAAGUAUGUGGUCAUCAUAGACCCGGAGAUCAAAAGGCAAGCAACGCCUAACGAGGACUUUUUCCUCAAGAGAAAUGGCACCAACGUGGUGGGCAGGGUGUGGCCAGGCGAGGUGUACUUCCCGGACUUCAUCAACCCACGCGCCGUGGAGUACUGGGCGCAGAAGAUCUCCGAGUUCCGGCGGACCAUCCCCGUAGACGGGCUAUGGUGCGACAUGAACGAGCCCUCCAACUUCGGGGCCUGGCAGCCGCUCAACGCGCUGGACGACCCGCCCUACCGCAUCAACAACUCCGGCACGCAUCGUCCCCUCAACAACCAAACCCUGCCGGUCUCCACUGUGCACUACAAUGGUGUGUCCGAGUACGACGCGCACAACCUCUUCGGCCUCUACGAGGCACGUGCCACGCAUGCCGCACUGCUCAAGGACACCGCGCGCCGCCCCUUCGUGCUCAGCCGCUCCACCUUCCCCGGAGCGGGGCGGUACGUCGCGCACUGGACCGGCGACAAUUCCGCGCGGUGGGACGAGCUUGCGAACUCCAUCAACACGAUGCUCAGCUUUGGCCUCUUUGGCAUCCCCAUGGUCGGCGCCGACAUAUGCGGCUUCAGGGGCAACACAAGCCAGGAGCUCUGCAGCCGCUGGAUCCAGCUUGGUGCGUUCUACCCGUUCGCGAGGGCGCACACGGAGAGAACCACCGAACGACGAGAGCUCUAUGUGUGGGAGUCGACGGCGCAGUCGGCGAGGAAAGCGUUCGGGACGCGGUACCGGAUGCUCCCCUACAUGUACACGCUCAUGUACGAGGCGCACACAACAGGGGCACCCAUCGCACGCCCGCUCUUCUUCUCCUACCCGCAGGACGCCGAUACGUACGGCGUGGACAAGCAGUUCCUGCUCGGGCGCGGCGUGCUUGUAUCUCCGGUGCUACAGCCGGGUGCCACCACCGUCGACGCCUAUUUCCCGGCAGGCCGGUGGUUCAGCCUCUAUGACCACAACUACCCCCGCACGGUGGACACGCGGACCGGCAAGCGUGUUACACUCCAGGCACCAGUGGACUCGGCGAACGUCCACCUCGCUGGCGGCAACAUCCUACCGCUGCAGCAGCCGGGCCUUACCACAUCCGCCGCACGGCAAGGCGAGUUCCACCUCCUUGUGGCACUCGCGGAGAACGGCAUGGCCAGCGGGGAGCUGUUCUUGGACGAUGGCGAGUCGACCGAGAUGGGCGGGGUGGGAGGCAACUGGACCCUGGUGAAAUUUAGCUGCAGCACGGAGGAGAGCAAGGGCAUCAUCACGACCACGGUGAGUUCCCAUGUGGUGCACAACUCAUACACGCCGAGUCGGGCGCCGGUGAUCGGCAAGGUGGUCUUCAUGGGGCUCCAGUCGCCAGCAAAGGGGUUCACUAUCUAUGUGAACAACGUUGAGCUCAAGGCAGCCCGCACCAAGUCCCGGACGAGUGGAGCGCUUAGCGUCAGUGGCCUGUCGCUGGCCAUUGGAAAGGAGUUCAAGAUCAAGGUCGUCAUGUCCCAUUAA